rnacentral:misc_RNA from 1 species
GGAAGUAAAAGUCGCAACAAGGUUUCCGUAGGUGAACCUGCGGAAGGAUCAUUAUUGUAUAACCGAGGUGCGAGGGCUGUCGCUGACCCGAAAGGUCGUGCACGCCCGAGUGCCCUCACACACAUCCAUCUCACCCCCAUGUGCACCACCGCGUGGGUCCCCCUUUGGCUUGUUCGGAGGGGGGCUUACGUUUUCACACAAACUUUGUAUGCAGUGUAGAAUGUAUUUUUUGUUUUUGCGAUCACGCAAUCAAUACAACUUUCAACAACGGAUCUCUUGGCUCUC